rnacentral:rRNA from 1 species
GACGAACGCUGGCGGCGUGCCUAAUACAUGCAAGUCGAGCGCAGGAAACUGACGGAACUCUUCGGAGGGAAGGCAGUGGAAUGAGCGGCGGACGGGUGAGUAACACGUAAGGAACCUGCCUCAAGGAUUGGGAUAACUCCGAGAAAUCGGAGCUAAUACCGGAUAGUUCAACGGACCGCAUGGUCCGCUGAUGAAAGGCGCUCCGGCGUCACCUUGAGCUGGCCUUGCGGUGCAUUAGCUAGUUGGGGGGGGAACGGCUCACCAAGGCGACGAUGCAUAGCCGACCUGGGAGGGUGAUCGGCCCCACUGCGACUGAGACACGGCCCAGACUCCUACGGGAGGCAGCAGUAGGGAAUCUUCCACAAUGGACGAAAGUCUGAUGGAGCAACGCCGCGUGAGUGAUGAAGGUUUUCGGAUCGUAAAACUCUGUUGUAAGGGAAGAACACGUACGAGAGGAAAUGCUCGUACCUUGACGGUACCUUACGAGAAAGCCACGGCUAACUACGUGCCAGCCGCCGCGGUAAAAC